CUUUGAGUAUGCUCCUAAUGGAACUCUUUUCGAGCAUCUUCAUGUUGAAGAAGCUGAUCAUCUGGACUGGCCUGCGAGGAUGAGAACCGUUAUGGGUACAAUGUAUUGUCUUCAAUACAUGCAUGAAUUAAACCCCCCAGUGCCACAUUGCAACUUGAAUUCUAAAUCCAUAUUUUUGACCGAUGAUUAUGCUGCUAAGAUUACAGAGAUUGAUUUCUGGUCAGAACUAACAGCCAAGUCGAAGUCCUCUAGCGAUGAUUUAGAGAAUUCCGUGCUGCCACCGCUUGCUGAUCCCGAGACUA